rnacentral:rRNA from 1 species
AUUGAACGCUGGCGGCAGGCCUAACACAUGCAAGUCGAGCGGAUGAAGGGAGCUUGCUCCUGGAUUCAACGGCAGACGGGUGAGUAAUGCCUAGGAAUCUGCCUGGUAGUGGGGGACAACGUUUCGAAAGGAACGCUAAUACCGCAUACGUCCUACGGGAGAAAGCAGGGGACCUUCGGGCCUUGCGCUAUCAGAUGAGCCUAGGUCGGAUUAGCUAGGUGGUGAGGUAAUGGCUCAACAAGGCGACGAUCCGUAACUGGUCUGAGAGGAUGAUCAUUCACACUGGAACUGAGGCACGGUCCAGACUCCUACGGGAGGCAGCAGUGGGGAAUAUUGGACAAUGAGCGAAAGCCUGAUCCAGCCAUGCCGCGUGUGUGAAGAAGGUCUUCGGAUUGUAAAGCACUUUAAGUUGGGAGGAAGGGUUGUAGAUUAAUACUCUGCAAUUUUGACGUUACCGACAGAAUAAGCACCGGCUAACUCUGUGCCAGCAGCCGCAGUAAUAC